GUUCAGAGAGCUCUGAUCUAGCUAGCUGAGGGAACAAUUCACUGUUUAAUACAAUCACAGAAGUAAUAAGAGAAUGCAUCUUGUCAAAUAAUUCAGACAAUACAGAUGCACACAGUGUAAGAAGCAAAAGUCCUUGUUCUCUGUUUGGGGAGGAUUCCUUCUGAUGUUUUUCUAUGGCAAUGCUCUUUCAGAAUGGACACUCAUCUCCUCUUCCUUCUCUACAACUUCCAUUGCAUUGACCUGGCAAGACGGAUUCCUCUAAUAGGCAGCAUGGGAACUCCUUCUGUUUGGGAAGGAGAGCCCUGAACAGGCAGCAAUGAGCUUCUAUAGGAGGAAUGUGCACGAAGGAAGUGGGCUGGGAAACCUGCAUAGCUGAAGAGCCUCUUGGGAGACAAGGUUCAAUGAGAAUCAUCAAAUAUUUCAAGUAUGGAAAAGACAUGAUCUGAUGUGGAGAUGGCUGGCAUCUCAAACACAACACAUCUCAAACGAAUGCAUCAUCUUACACUGUAAGUUUACUUUCCUUGUGUUCCUUAUUUCAGGAAUGGCACCUGAUUUCCUAAUCUAGAAACCUUAGCGUUAUCAGGACUCAGUGCUCUCCUUCACUCCUCCAGAACCAAUGAUUAAAUACUGCCCAUUUUGCUUCAUAAAUGCGUCUCAACUUUUCUCCAUUCUCAAUGCUACUACCUUGAAACACGCCUGUAGCAUCUCUUACUUGGACUCUUAUAACUGUCUCAUAACGGUUUUCCUGAUAUCUCCCAGCUCAUUUUCUCAGGCAGAGUAAUUGUUCUGAAAUGCAAAUCUUACGGUGUCACUUUAUUACUUAAAAACUCUACACUGGCUCUCCAUUGCUCUUAGGAUAAAUAGCAAUUUCUUCAACAUGGAACAAAAUGACCCCUCAUAAUCUGGCUUUUUCCAGUUUCAUCCCCUCCACUCCUCAUCCCCCAGCCCCACCCCCAUCCCAGCC